GGUGGAUAGAGGGGAGGAAAACAAGUUUCCACCUAAAUUUGUUGUAUUUUAACUCCAGUCCAGUAAAUAUACUGAGGUAGGGUAAAAAUGGACUAGAAAUCUGAAAACAUGAGUUAGGGAAGGAAGUCUGAAUGUUCAUCAAAAGUCAAGUCAGAAGCAGGAAAUCAGACGACUAGGAAGCUAUGAAUAACUGAGAACCCUGAAGUUUUACCUAAAGCAGUUAUAAAGGUUAAGCAGUCUUGUCCAGGUUUGGCUUUUAUAUUUUUCAUAAAGUACAAUGGAAGGGAAAACUUAUGGGGAGGCUGAUAGUAGAAAAAAGAAUUUGAAUAUUAUUUUUAAAAAGCAAUAUUUUUAGUAAGAAAAACAGAUUUUUAUGUAGCAAGGUAAAGUUUAAGGUCCUUAUGGCAGACACCCCUCUAAUAAUAAGAAAUGUGUUACUUUUUGAAGGAAACUUAUCAAUUAUUAGAUGUAUCUAAUAUUUAAAACAAUGUCCAUUGGAUUGUACUUGAAUUUCUCCCAAUGGCUAAAUGAACAAGUUAUCUGAAAGCAUUACCAAAAUUAUAGACCUUUAAUGUUUGGUGGCAUCUAGAGUUGUUCAGUUUCAAAUUUUGUCUUGUAAAUAUUCAAUUCCUUUGUUCCAUCAAGUGUUUCUCAAAUGAUAUUAACCCUUUCCCUGCAAUUCUUCAGAAUGUCAAUAUAUUUAAAUGCACCCUUUGCACUGUAGCAUGCAUUAACCCUUUCCCACCUUGAUGUGCAUAUCACAUCACACCCAGAAUAUCAAUAUUGUAAGCCAGGGAUUGUUGGAUUCAGAAUCUGAAAAGUAGUUUAAGGACACACAUACUCACUGUGUGUCCUUACAAAGGCAACUGACUCUUUGUAAUUCACUUUUUUCAAAUCUGCAAACUAUUAGUAUCUCUGUGUAGAAUAAAACCUGAAUUAUCUAUUUCAAUAAGUGCUCUCGUUAUUCAUAAUCAUCCAGCACACUUUUAGCACUUUAACAUUUUUAGUUGACAUUGGUUUUAUGUCCAUUUGAACUCCUGAAGUUUUCAAGUGAAUUGCUCUUGGCCUGGAUUUUUUACACCUUUCACUUUUGUAACUGAUUUUUUUUUUCAUUUCUAAAAACAGGAAUUUGCAUGUUUCCCAAUUAUAUUUGGGCUUUGGCUGUUAAGUUCUUAUUUGCAGUGUAUCUAAAAUU
rnacentral:lncRNA from 1 species